AAUGUCUUGUUCAGCGUUGGGUUGCACGGCAAGACACUCAAAGGAAUCGGCAGUUCAGUUUUUCCGACUUCCUUUUGAUGAGGCCAGGCUGAAGCAAUGGUUGGUGAACAUGAGGAGAGAGAGACCAGCAAAUGGAACCACGAAAAGUCACGUCUGCAGUUCACACUUUGAGGAAGAUCAGUUUUUUAGAGACAAGCAGGUAUCCACACUGAAAACUGAAUGAGCAGAGCCUCCAGAAGGAAGACCUGUUGUAUAGAGCCUCCAGAAGGAAGACCUGUUGUAUAGAGCCUCCAGAAGGAAGACCUGUUGUAUAGAGCCUCCAGAAGGAAGACCUGUUGUGUAGAGCGGCGUAUUUAGUGCCAUUUCAUCUGGAUGUGGAAACCAGAGCGUUGACCACAUCCAAAGUUCUCAAAUGUGUUCUGAUUGUAAAAAUGCCAGAAAAUCAUUUUUGGUUCAGCUUCUUCUGCUGAAAGGACAGACCAACUUUUGGCACUUCAAGGUUCAAUUUCUUGUGGUUGACUUAGUUUCUGCUGUAGUUUGAGAGGUGAUAGUAGUAACAUUAAGUAGUUUUGUGGAUUAAAACUUUUAUAAAUAUUAAACUGGAAUAAAAUAAUGAAUAUACUCUAGCAGUCACAAGUGAAAGUAUGUUUGGUAAUUUCACAUAAAGGGUCUUGUAUAUUUUAUGUAUUUAUGUACUGUUAGAAUUAAAUAUUUACAUUGCAUGUCCUUGUAUGGUUUUUAGUUUUCAUACUUUAAAAAUGUCAGUAACUAAUGAUUAAAUCAAAUGUACCUGAUUUGAUUUAAUCAGUUACUGACAUUUAAUAAGUUGUUUAAUUCUCCUUUGCAAUUUGUGAUCAUACGCUAUGAUUUUACAAUAGCCCUGCACAGAUUAAACAGCACCUAGGGCACUUUCAAUUACCUACUAAAAAUGUUCAAAAUACACAAGAAAAGCAAGUAUGGUAACAUUUAUGUGUAUUAAAGCCAAAAUAGAAAGACACUUUUUAUCAAUUACAAAUUCUAUAAAAUU